ACACGGCUGAAGAGUCCCACAAUAGGACGAAACGGCCGUCCACUGUUU
rfam:Schistosoma mansoni strain Puerto Rico chromosome 1, complete genome